GGGGCUGAAAUAGCUUUAGACGUAAGAUUAACAAACUAUUUUGCAGGUCGUUUAUACACGUAAAGUAUUUUUUAAACGCAAAUACAUUUGCUAAAGCAAAGGCUGCUGUCGCUAACUUGUUUAGCGCUCCUGCUUUUGCGCCAGCUCUGGCUUAAGCUAGGGCCGUCUCCCUGCCCGGUUCGGCACGGGGUGGGCGAGAUGUCAUAUUUUGUCGAUACCUUAUAGAUGCGCAGUGACGUUUAUAACGGAAAUUUUUAUCACGCGAUUGUUGUGACGUUUUGUUAGUUUUAAAAUCACAGUUUUUCGUAAUUAAAAGACUAACUAUGCCUGUAGACGAAUAGUAGGUUAUUUUGCGGACCCGAGGGCAGUACUCGGCAGCUCCACCA
rnacentral:tmRNA from 1 species